UCUCCGGGGGUAGAGCACUGUUUCGGCUAGGGGGCCAUCCCGGCUUACCAACCCGAUGCAAACUGCGAAUACCGGAGAAUGUUAUCACGGGAGACACACGGCGGGUGCUAACGUCCGUCGUGAAGAGGGAAACAACCCAGACCGCCAGCUAAGGUCCCAAAGUCAUGGUUAAGUGGGAAACGAUGUGGGAAGGCCCAGACAGCCAGGAUGUUGGCUUAGAAGCAGCCAUCAUUUAAAGAAAGCGUAAUAGCUCACUGGUCGAGUCGGCCUGCGCGGAAGAUGUAACGGGGCUAAACCAUGCACCGAAGCUGCGGCAGCGACGCUGAUGCGUUGUUGGGUAGGGGAGCGUUCUGUAAGCCUGCGAAGGUGGCCUGUGAGGGUUGCUGGAGGUAUCAGAAGUGCGAAUGCUGACAUAAGUAACGAUAAAGCGGGUGAAAAGCCCGCUCGCCGGAAGACCAAGGGUUCCUGUCCAACGUUAAUCGGGGCAGGGUGAGUCGACCCCUAAGGCGAGGCCGAAAGGCGUAGUCGAUGGGAAACGGGUUAAUAUUCCCGUACUUGGUGUUACUGCGAAGGGGGGACGGAGAAGGCUAUGUUGGCCGGGCGACGGUUGUCCCGGUUUAAGCGUGUAGGUGUGUGUUCCAGGUAAAUCCGGUUCACUUUAACACUGAGGCGUGAUGACGAGGCACUACGGUGCUGAAGCAACAAAUGCCCUGCUUCCAGGAAAAGCCUCUAAGCAUCAGGUAACAUCAAAUCGUACCCCAAACCGACACAGGUGGUCAGGUAGAGAAUACCAAGGCGCUUGAGAGAACUCGGGUGAAGGAACUAGGCAAAAUGGUGCCGUAACUUCGGGAGAAGGCACGCUGACACGUAGGUGAAGUGAUUUACUCAUGGAGCUGAAGUCAGUCGAAGAUACCAGCUGGCUGCAACUGUUUAUUAAAAACACAGCACUGUGCAAACACGAAAGUGGACGUAUACGGUGUGACGCCUGCCCGGUGCCGGAAGGUUAAUUGAUGGGGUCAGCGCAAGCGAAGCUCCUGAUCGAAGCCCCGGUAAACGGCGGCCGUAACUAUAACGGUCCUAAGGUAGCGAAAUUCCUUGUCGGGUAAGUUCCGACCUGCACGAAUGGCGUAAUGAUGGCCAGGCUGUCUCCACCCGAGACUCAGUGAAAUUGAACUCGCUGUGAAGAUGCAGUGUACCCGCGGCAAGACGGAAAGACCCCGUGAACCUUUACUAUAGCUUGACACUGAACAUUGAGCCUUGAUGUGUAGGAUAGGUGGGAGGCUUUGAAGUGUGGACGCCAGUCUGCAUGGAGCCGACCUUGAAAUACCACCCUUUAAUGUUUGAUGUUCUAACGUGGACCCGUGAUCCGGGUUGCGGACAGUGUCUGGUGGGUAGUUUGACUGGGGCGGUCUCCUCCUAAAGAGUAACGGAGGAGCACGAAGGUUGGCUAAUCCUGGUCGGACAUCAGGAGGUUAGUGCAAUGGCAUAAGCCAGCUUGACUGCGAGCGUGACGGCGCGAGCAGGUGCGAAAGCAGGUCAUAGUGAUCCGGUGGUUCUGAAUGGAAGGGCCAUCGCUCAACGGAUAAAAGGUACUCCGGGGAUAACAGGCUGAUACCGCCCAAGAGUUCAUAUCGACGGCGGUGUUUGGCACCUCGAUGUCGGCUCAUCACAUCCUGGGGCUGAAGUAGGUCCCAAGGGUAUGGCUGUUCGCCAUUUAAAGUGGUACGCGAGCUGGGUUUAGAACGUCGUGAGACAGUUCGGUCCCUAUCUGCCGUGGGCGCUGGAGAACUGAGGGGGGCUGCUCCUAGUACGAGAGGACCGGAGUGGACGCAUCACUGGUGUUCGGGUUGUCAUGCCAAUGGCACUGCCCGGUAGCUAAAUGCGGAAGAGAUAAGUGCUGAAAGCAUCUAAGCACGAAACUUGCCCCGAGAUGAGUUCUCCCUGAGACUUUAGGUCUCCUGAAGGAACGUUGAAGACGACGACGUUGAUAGGCCGGGUGUGUAAGCGCAGCGAUGCGUUGAGCUAACCGGUACUAAUGAACCGUGAGGCUUAACCUU
rnacentral:rRNA from 1 species